CUGGUUGAUCCUGCCAGUAGUCAUAUGCUUGUCUCAAAGAUUAAGCCAUGCAUGUCUAAGUUCAAGCGAAAAUAAAGUGAAACCGCGAAUGGCUCAUUACAUCAGUUAUGGUUCCUUAGAUCGCACUUACUACCUGGAUAACUGUGGUAAUUCUAGAGCUAAUACAUGCACUGAGCUCCAACCCUCGUGGAAGGAGCGCUUUUAUUAGAUCAAAGCCAAUCGGGCCUUCGGGUCCGUACCGUUGGUGACUCUGAAUAACUUUGCUGAUCGCAUGGUCUCGUACCGGCGACGUAUCUUUCAAGUGUCUGCCUUAUCAACUGUCGAUGGUAGGUUAUGCGCCUACCAUGGUUGUAACGGGUAACGGGGAAUCAGGGUUCGAUUCCGGAGAGGGAGCCUGAGAAACGGCUACCACAUCCAAGGAAGGCAGCAGGCGCGCAAAUUACCCACUCCCGGCACGGGGAGGUAGUGACGAAAAAUAACGAUACGGAACUCACAUGAGGCUCCGUAAUCGGAAUGAGUACACUUUAAAUCCUUUAACGAGGAUCUAUUGGAGGGCAAGUCUGGUGCCAGCAGCCGCGGUAAUUCCAGCUCCAAUAGCGUAUAUUAAAGUUGUUGCGGUUAAAAAGCUCGUAGUUGGAUCUCGGUUUCGGGCGGGUGGUGCGCCUUGCGGUGUUUACUGUCUGCCCGGACGAUUUUGUUGGUUCGUUCGUGGUUCUCUUAACCGAGUGCCACGGGUGGCCAGCACGUUUACUUUGAAAAAAUUGGAGUGCUCAAAGCAGGCGCUACAGCCUGAACAUUAGUGCAUGGAAUAAUGGAAUAGGACCUCGGUUCUAUUUCGUUGGCUUUCGGAGUCGAGGUAAUGAUUAAUAGGAACAGACGGGGGCAUUCGUACUGCGACGUUAGAGGUGAAAUUCUUGGAUCGUCGCAAGACGAACUACUGCGAAAGCAUUUGCCAAGAAUGUUUUCAUUAAUCAAGAACGAAAGUUAGAGGUUCGAAGGCGAUCAGAUACCGCCCUAGUUCUAACCAUAAACGAUGCCGACCGGCGAUCCGCCGUCGUUAAUUGAAUGACUCGGCGGGCAGCCUCCGGGAAACCAGAGUGUUUGGGUUCCGGGGGAAGUAUGGUUGCAAAGCUGAAACUUAAAGGAAUUGACGGAAGGGCACCACCAGGGGUGGAGCCUGCGGCUUAAUUUGACUCAACACGGGAAAUCUCACCAGGCCCGGACACCGGAAGGAUUGACAGAUUGAGAGCUCUUUCUUGAUUCGGUGGGUGGUGGUGCAUGGCCGUUCUUAGUUGGUGGAGCGAUUUGUCUGGUUAAUUCCGAUAACGAACGAGACUCUGGCCUACUAACUAGAUGUAGGAUCCCUUUGUGGGUCCGUCACUGCUUCUUAGAGGGACGGGCGGCUUUUAGCCGCACGAGAAUGAGCAAUAACAGGUCUGUGAUGCCCUUAGAUGUUCUGGGCUGCACGCGCGCUACACUGAAGGAAUCAGCGUGUGUUCCCUACCCGAAAGGGUUGGGAAACCCGUUGAACCUCCUUCGUGAUGGGGAUUGGGGAUUGCAAUUAUUCCCCAUGAACGAGGAAUUCCCAGUAGGCGCGAGUCAUAAGCUUGCGUCGAUUACGUCCCUGCCCUUUGUACACACCGCCCGUCGCUACUACCGAUCGAGUGAUUUAGUGAGGACUUCGGACUGGUCUUCGUGGUGGCUCUCGAGUCAUGACGGAGUUCCGGAAAGAUGCCCAAACUUGAUCACUUAGAGGAAGUAAAAGUCGUAACAAGGUUUCCGUAGGUGAACCUGCG
rnacentral:rRNA from 1 species